GAUGAACGCUGGCGGGGUGACUAAUACAUGCAAGUCGAGCGAACGGACGAGAAGCUUGCUUCUCUGAUGUUAGCGGCGGACGGGUGAGUAACACGUGGAUAACCUACCUAUAAGACUGGGAUAACUUCGGGAAACCGGAGCUAAUACCGGAUAAUAUUUUGAACCGCAUGGUUCAAAAGUGAAAGACGGUCUUGCUGUCACUUAUAGAUGGAUCCGCGCUGCAUUAGCUAGUUGGUAAGGUAACGGCUUACCAAGGCAACGAUGCAUAGCCGACCUGAGAGGGUGAUCGGCCACACUGGAACUGAGACACGGUCCAGACUCCUACGGGAGGCAGCAGUAGGGAAUCUUCCGCAAUGGGCGAAAGCCUGACGGAGCAACGCCGCGUGAGUGAUGAAGGUCUUCGGAUCGUAAAACUCUGUUAUUAGGGAAGAACAUAUGUGUAAGUAACUGUGCACAUCUUGACGGUACCUAAUCAGAAAGCCACGGCUAACUACGUG
rnacentral:rRNA from 1 species